rnacentral:rRNA from 1 species
UAACCCAAGGUUGACCUCGGAUCAGGUAGGAAGACCCGCUGAACUUAAGCAUAUC